UUUAUUCAAAAACAUAAAAAAUUAAAAAUAAAAAAAUAAAAAAAUAGUACUAGUUAGUAUAGAUUUGUAAGUGAUUGUAUUUUAAUUUUAUUUAUUAUUAAUUUUAUUUUUAUUUUUAUUUUAUUUAUCUAUUUUUCAUUUUAGUGAAUAUAUUCUUUUUAGUUAUUUAUUUUAUUUAUUUUUAUUUUUAGUGUAUAUAUUAAAAAAAAAAAUUAAAAAAAAAAUUGCCUGAUUAAUACAAGGGAAUUGAUUAAUCCCAUGCCUGGUAGAGAGCAACAAAAAAUUGCCCCAUGUGGAUCGAUCCCACAACCAUGGGGAUCGAUCAACUUUCACUUUCUCACAUUACACAACAAAGGGAAAAAAUUUUGCCUAAAAUUGUCGAUCCCCCAUCAAAGAGGAUCGAGCGCCCUUUUCAGCCCUCACUUCUCUCCGUCGCCUAUUUGCUUCAUCAUCAUCGCCUAGCUGCACUUAACCCAAGCUGCCUCACUCUUCCCUUAUCACCCUUCAUCUCCUAUCUCUCAACACCGAGCACCACACUACCAUCUCCCAGUUUCGGCCGCAUCGAACCCAUCCCAACCUCAGGCCGCAGUCUCUGAAAUUUCAAGCGCACCUUCCAGUCACCGGCCGUGCUUUUCUGAUCGCGGCUAUUCCUUUUCAAGCGCCGUUUCCUGGGUUAUAUUCCGGCAUCGCAUCUGGGUCGCUACUUUUCUCCAGCGAUCAAGGCUAGAUCUUUGCGGCGUCGCGGCUGGAUUCUCUCCGUAGAUCGCGGCUGGUUUGCGGAUCUUCUCCGGCGAUUUUGUGGGUCGCCGUUUGCCGUUUUCUUGGUCGCUGUUUCCAGCGAUUUGGACUUGGUGUCGCCAAUGAUUUCGGCUAGGCUUAUCGCCGGCUAGUUUGUGGGUCAAAAUGAAAAUAAAUAAAUAGAAAAAAAAAAAACCGCAAUAGAACGAUUUCGGCUGGGCUGAAAUUCCGGCGCUGUUUGAGACUCGCCCUUUAUUUUUCCGGCGUUGCAACUGGCUGUUCCCUCCAGCGAUUUUGGCUAGAUUUUGAUUUGGUUUCUUCAUCGAUUCCGGCGGCUUUUGACUGGGUUUUCUCCAGCAAGUAUGUGGGGCAAUAAAGUUAAAAUGAGCUAAGAACGGUCCAUUAAAGCCUUUUUGGAGUCAAGCAAAGAUAUUCAGAAAAAGUUCAGAAAAUGGCAAAAAGGAGGUCACAGCCCAUUGCUCAUAUAGUGUGUUUAUUCUUCAAAAGCGGUCAAUCUCAGGCCUUUGAUGAUGUUCCCAAAGAUGAAGAAGCAAACUAAUGAGUUCGGGGCCAAAAUGGAGCUAAAUAGGGAUUAAAGGAAAUUUCCAACUCUGGGGGGAUCGAUCCCCCAGGGUGGGGGAUCGAUCCCCCAGGACUUGGCAACAUUACAGAUUUUUCUUAUUGUUUGGGCUUAUUUUGUGAAUUAUUGGGCUUAAAUAGGGUUAUUACUUAAGGCCCAGUGAGUCAUUAGUUUAGGGUUAGUUUUUAUUUUAUUUAGGAGAGAGUUUUAUUAUUUUAUGAUUAAGUUUUUAUUAUUUUUUUCUGUACCGUGAUAUUACGUUCUCUUUGGGAAAAAGGAGAAAGCUAGGGUUGGAAGAACAUUUUUUAUGAAGGCUCUAUCUACAAUUGAAGGGAGAAGAAGAAGGAGCCAAAAGAUGGAGAUGGAGCUUGUUGACACCAUGAUCAUCUUCUUCAUGAGCUAGUUCUUCACUUAGGGCUUGGAUGAGCCUUAAGUUCAUGUAACCCUAACCUUUGUAUUUCUUUUCUUGGGGAAUUAUUAUGUUGUAAUUAAA